UGUGUAGGCGGUCCUCUAAGUUUGGUGUGAAAUCUCCCGGCUCAACCGGGAGGGUGCGCCGAAAACUGGGGGACUAGAGUGCGGGAUGGGAGAGUGGAAUUCCUGGUGUAGCGGUGAAAUGCGUAGAUAUCAGGAGGAACACCGGUGGUGUAGACGGCUCUCUGGACCGUAACUGACGCUGAGACACGAAAGCGUGGGUAGCAAACAGGAUUAGAUACCCUGGUAGUCCACGCCCUAAACGAUGCAUAUUUGGUGUAGGUCAUUCAGUUGAUCUGUGCCGGAGCUAACGCGUUAAAUAUGCCGCCUGGGGAGUACAGUCGCAAGGCUGAA
rnacentral:rRNA from 1 species